rnacentral:rRNA from 1 species
AUGGCGGACCUUGUGGUGGGCAUGGCCAAGUCGGUGGUGGAUGGGGCGCUGACCAAGGCCCAGGCGGCGAUCGAGGAGGAGUCCAAGCUGCGGCAGAGCGCGCAGCGCAAUCUGGUGUUCAUCACCGGCGAGUUCCAGAUGAUGCAGGCCUUCCUCAACAACGCCGACAGCGACCGCCUGGAGAAUCCGGUGGUGCGGACCUGGGUGCGGCAGAUCCGCGACCUGGCCUACGACGUGGAGGACUGCAUCGAGUUCGUCGUCCACCUCGACAAGAACAACAGCUGGUGGCUCCGCCUUCUCAACCCCGUGAGCUGGCUCCUCGCGCCCUGCCUGGAUCUCGCGCCGCUGCCGCUCGACGAGGCGGUCGACGAGCUGGACCGGCUCAAGGCCAGGGUGGAGGACGUGAGCAGCAGGAACACGCGCUACAGCCUCAUCAACGACUCCGGCUCCAAGCCCGCCGCCGCCGCCGACGAGCACGACCCGGUUUCCUCCUGCGAUGCUGUCGGUGGCGCGAUGGCGUUCAACAGGCUCUUCGAGGCGGCAUUUAGAAUCACCCAAAAAGGGGAACUCACCCAGCUGCUCCCCAAGAAAGACCAUGACCUCGGAGUCAUCUCCAUCUGGGGCACCGGCACCGGAGGCGGGGAAGAUCUUGGGAUGGCAUCCAUCGCCUGGAACGCCUACGUUGAUAAAGGGACCUGCCAAAACUUCGUCUGUCGUGCCUGGGUGAAGCUGAUGCAUCCCUUUGAUCCCCACCAGUUCGUCAGGUCUUUGACGGCUCAGUUCUAUGCAGCUUCCUCCUCUCCUGGCGAGGAGCACGCGACCUCCGUAGGUGGUGUACGAGUCCUGAUGAAGAUGGAGGCCGCGGGAGGAGGAGAACCCCUCAAGGAUUUCGAGCAGCUUGUCAUGAACAAUAGGUACCUCGUUGUGCUGGAGGACGUGUCCUCCAUGGCAGACUGGGAUGCUAUCAGGAGGUUCUUUCCAAACAUGAAGAAUGGCAGCUGCAUCAUCUUGCCUACCCACCAAUUCGAGGUAGCAAGCUUGUCCGUUGGACAUCCAUACCAAGUGCUGCAUCUCAACCAGCUAUCAGCAGAGCACUCUGUUUACGCCUUCUUUACAAAGGGGUCUCGAUAUGAUGUGGAUCAAGGCAGGGAAAUCAAUAAUGCACCUGCCAGCAAGAAUGUAUCAGUCGGCAACUGUAAGGAGGAAGCAGCCAAGAAGUGGAUGAACAGGCAUCCUCUUGUUGGACGCGAGUCGGAAAUGAAGGAUCUUGCUCUAAAGGUAAUUAAUGCACGGUACAAGAGCUACCAAGUUAUGUCCGUGUGGGGAAUAGCUGGCGUUGGAAAAUCAGCUCUCGUCAAGAACAUGUUCUGCGACAGAAUUUGUAUAGGCACCCUAUUCCAGAAGUAUGGUUGGGUGGAUGUAUCACAUCCUUUCAAUUUAUGGAACUUCUCUCGAAUCUUACUUUCCAGUCUUGGUUCUGAAUAUCUUCAAGCCGGUGAGACUGAGGACUUGUGUACGAUGGGAAGCCGAAAUCCCAUUGUCGAGUGUCGUGAGAUUCUGAAAAAGCAUAGAUGCCUGGUUGUUAUUGAUGGACUGCAGUCCACAGAAGAAUGGGAUCUCAUAAAAGCUAACUUGGUAUCAGGGUCUAAUCGUCAGAAUGUUAUCAUUGCCGUUACAAUUGAACAAGAAAUGGCCUCUCAUUGCCGUGGAGUUAAGGGAGAGCUCGUGUUUAAUGUCAAAGGUUUGGAAGCUGACACAGCCUUUGAACUCUUCAAGAAGGUAUCCAAGAAGAGUGAAGUCGCAGAGCUACAAGAACUUACGUCACUAUGUGGUGGACUUCCGAAAGUUAUAGUGGAGAUAGCCAGCUCAUUCGCCAAAAAUACAGAUCGAUGGAAACAUACACUUUCUACCAAAAACAAGUUUAUGCUAGAGCUCGAGAACAACGGAGAGUUUGACAGUCUAAAGGGUCUGUUUGGUUGGAUGAAUUCAUACUUCCGCAAAUGCCCAGAUUCUCUCAAGCCAUGUAUCUUGUAUCUACCAAUUUUCCCUCGAAACCAGCUCAUUCGGCGGAGGCGACUAGUAAGGCGGUGGAUUGCUGAGGGUUACUCCAGGGACAGCCAUGAAGAAUCUGCAGAGAUGACUGGGGAGAAACAAUUCUGUGACCUCAUUAAUCUGAGCAUAAUCCAGCAGGCAUCUGCGUUGGGUUUGGGUGGCACAAGGAUGGUCUUCUGCCAAGUCAAUGGCUUCUUUCGUGAGUAUAUUGUCUCGCGCCAAAUGGAAGAGAACCUUGUGUUUGAACUUAGGGGCAGUUGUGCCUUAACCACCCAACGCACAGGGCGUCACCUUGUGAUAUUAGAGAGCUGGGUCAGAGAUAGAAUUGUGUACGAGAGCAUUGACUUUUCACGCCUCCGGUCACUCACGGUGUUUGGAAACUGGAAAUCAUUCUUCGUUUCUGAAAGUAUGAGGCUUCUUCGGGUGCUUGAUCUAGAGGGUGCAUCAGAAUUAGAGUAUAGCGACCUCAAGAAGAUUGUGAAGUUGAUGUGUCGCCUCAAGUUCCUCUCACUGCGAGGAUGCCAUGAAAUCUGCCAUCUGCCGAGUUCAAUAGGAGGUCUGAGGCAGCUUCAGACUCUUGAUGUUAGACACACCUCCAUAGUCACCCUGCCGGUGAACAUCACCAAGUUAGAGAAGCUGCAGUACAUCCGUGCGGGAACCACUGCUCCAGCAAAUGAAGCACCAACACCACAUCAUUUAGUGCCCCAGCUGUCCAAUUGCUGUGGUGGUCAUCACCUGGUUGGUGUUGUGAUGCCUCCAGGGAUUGGGAAACUGACGGCAUUGCACACACUUGGUGUUGUCAAUGUCAGUGCUUCAGGGACAAAGGCCUUCCUAGAAGAUCUCAAGAAGCUCACCCAUUUGCACAAACUCGGAGUGUCUGGCAUUAACAAGAAUAACAGUAAUGAGUUUUUCCGCGCAAUCUCAGUUCUUGUCCAUCUGGAAUCACUGUCGGUGCGGCUCGAGGACAACAAUCAAGGUUGUUUGAAUGGUAUACCGCUGCCUUUGGAGGGCUUGAGGAGCCUUAAAAUGCAUGGGCUUGGAGACCAGUUGCCAAACUGGAGUGGGCAGCUCACUAUGCUUGCAAAGAUGGAUUUGGAAAUAGCCAAGUUGAUGGAAGAUAAUGUCUCCCCGCACUCAGAAGGUGCGACGCCAGAAGGAAGAAGGAAACCAACUAGGGGUGUCAUCAAGUUCCUAAGCGAGCUACCAGGAUUAUGUAUUCUACGUCUUCGUGUCGAUCACCUUCAAGAUAAUCAGCUUGACGUGUCUGUCAUUACUAAUGACCUAGAGGAAGACUCUUUCAAGAAAAUGAAGAUCUUCGAGAUUGCUUGCAGCUCCAGCUUAGAAGUUAGUUUUGGAGAAAAAACAAUGAAGAAACUUGAGCAGCUGAAGGUCGACUGCUCUAGUGGCUCAUCGUUGUUAGGCCUGAAGCAUUUACCUGAACUCAAGGAAGUCUUGCUCAAGGGUUCCAGUGAUGAAGAACUCAAGGCUGAUCUCAUCGCUGUGCUUGAGAACCACCCAAAGCAAAAGAAACCUGUUGUGAAGUUUGAGAAACUACGAGAGCCUCUUCGUCCUGAUAGUUUGGGAGGUCAAGGGGGUCAUUAA